rnacentral:rRNA from 2 species
CAGUCGAACGAUGAUGCCCAGCUUGCUGGGUGGAUUAGUGGCGAACGGGUGAGUAACACGUGAGUAACCUGCCCCUGACUCUGGGAUAAGCGUUGGAAACGACGUCUAAUACUGGAUAUGACUGCCGGCCGCAUGGUCUGGUGGUGGAAAGAUUUUUUGGUUGGGGAUGGACUCGCGGCCUAUCAGCUUGUUGGUGAGGUAAUGGCUCACCAAGGCGACGACGGGUAGCCGGCCUGAGAGGGUGACCGGCCACACUGGGACUGAGACACGGCCCAGACUCCUACGGGAGGCAGCAGUGGGGAAUAUUGCACAAUGGGCGAAAGCCUGAUGCAGCAACGCCGCGUGAGGGAUGACGGCCUUCGGGUUGUAAACCUCUUUUAGUAGGGAAGAAGCGAAAGUGACGGUACCUGCAGAAAAAGCACCGGCUAACUACGUGCCAGCAGCCGCGGUAAUACGUAGGGUGCAAGCGUUGUCCGGAAUUAUUGGGCGUAAAGAGCUCGUAGGCGGUUUGUCGCGUCUGCUGUGAAAUCCCGAGGCUCAACCUCGGGCUUGCAGUGGGUACGGGCAGACUAGAGUGCGGUAGGGGAGAUUGGAAUUCCUGGUGUAGCGGUGGAAUGCGCAGAUAUCAGGAGGAACACCGAUGGCGAAGGCAGAUCUCUGGGCCGUAACUGACGCUGAGGAGCGAAAGCAUGGGGAGCGAACAGGAUUAGAUACCCUGGUAGUCCAUGCCGUAAACGUUGGGCGCUAGAUGUAGGGACCUUUCCACGGUUUCUGUGUCGUAGCUAACGCAUUAAGCGCCCCGCCUGGGGAGUACGGCCGCAAGGCUAAAACUCAAAGGAAUUGACGGGGGCCCGCACAAGCGGCGGAGCAUGCGGAUUAAUUCGAUGCAACGCGAAGAACCUUACCAAGGCUUGACAUACACCGGAAACGGCCAGAGAUGGUCGCCCCCUUGUGGUCGGUGUACAGGUGGUGCAUGGUUGUCGUCAGCUCGUGUCGUGAGAUGUUGGGUUAAGUCCCGCAACGAGCGCAACCCUCGUUCUAUGUUGCCAGCGGGUUAUGCCGGGGACUCAUAGGAGACUGCCGGGGUCAACUCGGAGGAAGGUGGGGAUGACGUCAAAUCAUCAUGCCCCUUAUGUCUUGGGCUUCACGCAUGCUACAAUGGCCGGUACAAAGGGCUGCGAUACCGUAAGGUGGAGCGAAUCCCAAAAAGCCGGUCUCAGUUCGGAUUGAGGUCUGCAACUCGACCUCAUGAAGUCGGAGUCGCUAGUAAUCGCAGAUCAGCAACGCUGCGGUGAAUACGUUCCCGGGCCUUGUACACACCGCCCGUCAAGUCAUGAAAGUCGGUAACACCCGAAGCCGGUGGCCUA